UACGUAGGGGGCUAGCGUUGUCCGGAUUUAUUGGGCGUAAAGCGCGUGUAGGCGGCCAGGUAGGUCUGCUGUGAAACCCGAGCUUAACCUCGGGGCGCCGGCGGAAACCAUCUGGCUAGAGUCCGGAAGAGGAGAGUGGAAUUCCUGGUGUAGCGGUGAAAUGCGCAGAUAUCAGGAAGAACACCCGUGGCGAAGGCGGGUCUCUG
rnacentral:rRNA from 1 species